rnacentral:rRNA from 1 species
UGGCGGCGUGCCUAAUACAUGCAAGUCGAACGCACAGCGAAAGGUGCUUGCACCUUUCAAGUGAGUGGCGAACGGGUGAGUAACACGUGGACAACCUGCCUCAAGGCUGGGGAUAACAUUUGGAAACAGAUGCUAAUACCGAAUGAAACUUAGUGUCGCAUGAUACGAAGUUAAAAGGCGCUUUGGCGUCACCUAGAGAUGGAUCCGCGGUGCAUUAGUUAGUUGGUGGGGUAAAGGCCUACCAAGACAAUGAUGCAUAGCCGAGUUGAGAGACUGAUCGGCCACAUUGGGACUGAGACACGGCCCAAACUCCUACGGGAGGCUGCAGUAGGGAAUCUUCCACAAUGGGCGAAAGCCUGAUGGAGCAACGCCGCGUGUGUGAUGAAGGCUUUCGGGUCGUAAAGCACUGUUGUAUGGGAAGAACAGCUAGAAUAGGGAAUGAUUUUAGUUUGACGGUACCAUACCAGAAAGGGACGGCUAAAUACGUGCCAGCAGCCGCGGUAAUACGUAUGUCCCGAGCGUUAUCCGGAUUUAUUGGGCGUAAAGCGAGCGCAGACGGUUGAUUAAGUCUGAUGUGAAAGCCCGGAGCUCAACUCCGGAAUGGCAUUGGAAACUGGUUAACUUGAGUGCAGUAGAGGUAAGUGGAACUCCAUGUGUAGCGGUGGAAUGCGUAGAUAUAUGGAAGAACACCAGUGGCGAAGGCGGCUUACUGGACUGUAACUGACGUUGAGGCUCGAAAGUGUGGGUAGCAAACAGGAUUAGAUACCCUGGUAGUCCACACCGUAAACGAUGAACACUAGGUGUUAGGAGGUUUCCGCCUCUUAGUGCCGAAGCUAACGCAUUAAGUGUUCCGCCUGGGGAGUACGACCGCAAGGUUGAAACUCAAAGGAAUUGACGGGGACCCGCACAAGCGGUGGAGCAUGUGGUUUAAUUCGAAGCAACGCGAAGAACCUUACCAGGUCUUGACAUCCUUUGAAGCUUUUAGAGAUAGAAGUGUUCUCUUCGGAGACAAAGUGACAGGUGGUGCAUGGUCGUCGUCAGCUCGUGUCGUGAGAUGUUGGGUUAAGUCCCGCAACGAGCGCAACCCUUAUUGUUAGUUGCCAGCAUUCAGAUGGGCACUCUAGCGAGACUGCCGGUGACAAACCGGAGGAAGGCGGGGACGACGUCAGAUCAUCAUGCCCCUUAUGACCUGGGCUACACACGUGCUACAAUGGCGUAUACAACGAGUUGCCAACCCGCGAGGGUGAGCUAAUCUCUUAAAGUACGUCUCAGUUCGGAUUGUAGUCUGCAACUCGACUACAUGAAGUCGGAAUCGCUAGUAAUCGCGGAUCAGCACGCCGCGGUGAAUACGUUCCCGGGUCUUGUACACACCGCCCGUCACACCAUGGGAGUUUGUAAUGCCCAAAGCCGGUGGCCUAACCUUUUAGGAAGGAGCCGUCUAAGGCAGGACAGAUGACUGGGGUG